UACGGAGGGGGCUAGCGUUGUUCGGAAUUACUGGGCGUAAAGCGUGCGCAGGCGGUUUUGUAAGUCUGUCGUGAAAUCCCCGGGCUUAACCUGGGAAUGGCGAUGGAGACUGCAAGGCUAGAGUUUGGCAGAGGGGGGUAGAAUUCCACGUGUAGCAGUGAAAUGCGUAGAGAUGUGGAGGAACACCGAUGGCGAAGGCAGCCCCCUGGGUCAAAACUGACGCUCAUGCACGAAAGCGUGGGGAGCAAACAGG
rnacentral:rRNA from 1 species